ACAAUUUACAUUUAUUAUGCCCACUGAAACCACAAAACCAAUGUUUAAUUUUACAGUUUAAAGUCACACAUAAGGAAAUGCUUUACAAAAUAGGAUAUUGUUCCUUAAUGAAAAAUAUUACAGUAAAGGUCCCAAACAUCUUAUUUCAAGUGGUUUACCUGAAUAAUAGAGCUGUUGUGGAAUGUAGGCUACAAAACACAGUAAUGCUUUCAAUAGUUGUUUCAGGUUUGAAAUAUGCCAAAGCUGAAGAGACAUUUUAAACAAGACCCGUCUUCGUUUUCCAAGAUCUUUUUUUUUUAAAUUUUCCAACAGCAUUGUAUUCACUGAAAAAAUGCCAUCACUUCUGGAGAACUGAGAGUAAAAAGCAGCUUACAUUUUACUGCUUGUAUACAGCAUGUA
rnacentral:lncRNA from 1 species